ensembl:miRNA
ACCUUCUUGUAUAAGCACUGUGCUAAAAUUGCAGAAACUAGGACUAUGUCUUGGUUUUUGUAAUAAUGCUAGCAGAGUACACACAGGAAGAAAAGUAACUGCA